UACAGAGGUGGCAAGCGUUGUUCGGAAUUACUGGGCGUAAAGGGCGCGUAGGUGGCCUUCUUAGUCAGACGUGAAAUCCCCAGGCUUAACCUGGGAACUGCGUCUGAUACUGGAAGGCUUGAGUUCGGGAGAGGAAUGUGGAAUUCCAGGUGUAGCGGUGAAAUGCGUAGAUAUCAGGAGGAACACCUGCGGUGUAGACGGCUUACUGGACCAUAACUGACGCUGAGGCACGAAAGCGUGGGUAGCAAACAGG
rnacentral:rRNA from 1 species